UGUCUAGUUUUUUCUUAUUCGAGAAGCAAAGUCUCCUCUUAAAUAUGAAAACUCAUACGAAGUGCUCGUAUGUUUUAAAAGUGACGCCGCAAAUUCAUGCAAAAGUCGGCGCAAAUUGUUUUGCAACGGAAUGGUGGCAUGUGUAUUGAUUUGAUCAGUCGAUACUUUUAAUUAUUGAUCGAUACCGGUAUAAAAAUGCCGUAGAAUAUGGAAGCUGAAGGGAGUCUCGUCUAAAAAAAAGUCAAAUUUAGAGGAGAGGAUAGAGCUUUUAAUGCUAAAGUACAGAGAUAUUGGAUAUAAACGAUUUCGCGUACGGUUGGAACUGACCUCGACGCUAUGCAAAGAAACUCCUUUUUUUAUCGGAAGUAUUAUAUUCCUGUGUCUAUCGGAAGGGUAGAACGCAUCUUGACAGAGAAACAAACUGCCUCGACGCAUCCAUCAUCUGAAGAGAGAUUUGCAUUCACUUAAACGAAUUUAAGAAAAUAUAAUAGUGUAACAACAUUCCUAAUAUUUAUUAACGCAAUCGGAUAAAUGUGUAUUAUUCAAAUAUCUCAAUUCCUAUGCCGAUAGCUUUAGUGGAAUUGGCUGAAAUAUUGGUUAAGAAAUUUCAGGAUAUACAUACUUAUGUACAAGUGACGUUAAAUAAAAGCUUGUAAAAAUAAA